AUGAAACAAAAAUAGUAUAAAAUAGUUUUCAUAUAUUGACUCCUUAAAUGAUCUUACAUCAACCAACUCUAAUAUUGCAAAUUAACAACUCAUAAAAGUUUAGAAUUCUAAUGGAUAACAAAAAAAAAUUAUCUAGAAAUUUUGGAUAGAAUAAGAAUGUGAAAGGUUUUUGAUGAAACAUGGAAGUAAGCAUAAUAUCAGGGAAGUGAAAAUAUUUUUGUGAGAGAAGCUAAAGUAACACGUGUAGGUGUGAAUAAUAUUCUAGAUAAAUAUGUGUACGCGUAUAUAUAUAUAUUAUAAUCGAUUUCGGUUCGGUUCGGUUUGAACCACGUUUUUUUGAAAAUAAAAAUCGGUAACCGAACCAAAUUUACCGUUUUUUAAUUUUUAAAAACCAGAACCUAACCAGUAAACCAUAGAACCAAUCCAAAAUGCACGGUUCGGUUCAGUUCGGUUCACCGAUUUUCAAAUUUUUUUGGAUACCCCUAAGGCCUACUACUCAACUAGUUUAGGAAUUUUUCUAUCAUUCAAGACCUUUAUACUCAAAUACAAUGAUACUACGGAAGCGUCUUUAAUCUAACCAAACUGACUUUCAUAGAUAAUAUACAAAUAUCUAUAUAUGUUUUUGAAUAAAUUAUUUAUAACUACGGUUCUGGCCAUAAUGUCCUGCAUAACCGUCAACAAAACUAUAUAACUUCAAAAGAUCUAACAUUUCUAUACCAAGCACGCAACAUAUGUCUUUCAAAAUCAACGCUAUGGUCACCCACCCUUAAUCGCGUUCCAUUUCGUUCUCAUCAUCUGAAAUGUUUACGUACAAACUACGUCUUAAGCACUAGUAGUGGAGUCGAGUUUUAUAGUAUACUAAUACAAGUGCCAUGAAAUUAUAAAACAUAAUUCGUUUCAACAAAUAAAAAAAAUAUUUACUUUUGUCAAUCCCUUUUCAUUUUAAUCACUUGGCUCAUUUAGCCCUAACAUUGAUUUCAUAUCAAAAAUCAAAAUUAUAUUGGAUUGACCCUUACGAUACAUACACCCUCAACAUUAACCUAGAAAUUAGGGCAUGACCCUAAUAUAAUAUGUGGCAUGGUAUCACCCAAGAUCAUUUGACUAUGAUUCUUCUAUUACAUCACCUCUCGCUAUAUAUUUUUUUUCCUAGCGGACAGGACACCAUUCGAAUCACGUGUCGUCUAAAACAUACUUUUUUAAAGUAAUCAUUUUUCACAAUUCAUGGCACAUUUAAAAAUAUAGCAUGCAUUUAAUCACAAAAAUAUCAUCAUGUUUAAUAAACAAAAUCAUACAUGCUUUAAUCAUAAAACUUUACUUUUAAGCAAGUAAAACAUAACAAGACUCACCUUAUGUUUAUAUACCGUUCUUUCUUUCAGUAUUCGUUUGUAAGCUAAGGCAAUAGUUCCUCGGGUUCCGGUCCUAUAAGUACCAAUUUCGAACUUAGUAUUCUUCUUUCAUUAUCCUUUCAUUUACCUUAUUUGUCUAUUUGAAUUAUUGUUUAAUGUGUCUAAUCUAAGAGUAGUAAAUGUGUAUAAGGUAUCGAGAGUAAAUCAGGUACUAGACAACUCAAUUGGGUUUUAAAUUUAUAAAAAUAUUGGGUUUAAACUGGUUGGGAACAAUCUGGGCCUAACGGAGAAAAACUGGACCGAUUCAGGAUACAACAGUAGAUUUCUUGUAAAAGUCAAGAAAAAGAUGGAUCGGUUCAGGGAGUCGGGGUUGGUGGGGGGACAAAAGUUUUUGGGGAACACUCUGGACGCUAUUCCCGGAUAAACAAAAAAAAAAAAGAAAAGCUGGACCGGUUCAGCAGUCAUAAGGUUUUAACUGAAAAAACUGGACCGGUCGAAAAAAUACUGGACCAGUCUAAGAAAAAAAACAUAUUUUUUGGCUUGACCUUCCAAGCCUAUUUUUGAGAUAAUAAAACCUCUAAUUAGGAAAACACUUAAAAAAAAGUUUUAGGUAUUUGAAAUAUUUUUUCAUACGUAACUCAAAUCAAAUCAAAAUGUUAUCAAUAGAUGAAGUUACCUUUUAGAAUAUUAACUGAUUGCUUUACGAAAAUACACGACUACCUUCUAAUCGGAUUCAAUGCGCCUACACGACGUAUCUGACCUAUUUUUGACGUAUUUUUCACUUUAUUCUAUUAUAUAGCAUGUUACUUCUAAAUAUGAGAUAAUUUAUAUUUUUUGAAGUGUACAAAAAUUACAAAAACUAAGAGUCUCGGGAAAAAGUUUUACUUGAACGUAGAAGAAUUUUGCUAUAUUUCUAUUUCUAUCUUUUUCUUUCUUCUUUUUCUCUUCCUCUUCUCUCCCUUGUUUGUUUUGGCAGCACACCUCGCUCUCUCUCUUUCCCUCUUUCGCUCUUUCUCUUCCUCUCUUUAUUAUCUCCUUUGGCAUGAAAACUCCUAGCUUGCUUGCUGGGGAGGACAAAGGGGUAUGGGUCUUACUGAUUUUGGUGUUGGUUGGUGUUAACCCCCAUGGCCCCCCAUGGCCCAUUCCAUGUGUGACUGAUAUUGCUUUUUUUUUUGUUCCGUUUUAUCAGAAAAUUUGUUUUGGUAAAUUUUUGUUAUCAUAAAUAGCCUGAAAAUUACUAAAAUCUACUAGUAUAUAUAAUAUGUUUUCAUACUUUAAUCAGGUAAAAAUAAUUAAGAAUCGGGGUAUUAUCUUGCCCUUGAUUCAUCUUGUUGCCAACUCGCAUUUUUGACUAGACAAUGUCCUUCAAACCCCGCUUUUAUUGCACUGUGGGUUGAGUAUUUUAAGAACUCUUCACAGUGGUGGUAUUUUUCAAUUAAGGGCAGCUACUUGGAAUGGUUUUAACUUAAGCCAUUCUUUCAGCAUGAUUUCUUGCAAAUAAGUGAAUUCUUGCACGGGACCUCAUGAUGGUCUUUGGACCCGUCAUCCUGAAUCAAGAAACCUCACCACGACGAACUUCUUGGUUGGGGGGUGGGGGGGCAUCCUUUGUCUUGUACUUUUUUGUUUAAAGAAUCUAGAAUUCGUUGGCAAUAGGAAAUGGAACAAUACACUUUGUAUACUAUAGUUUUCAAACCAUUCAUUGAUAGCUUUCGCAGAGAAAAUCUGCAUAUUUUUCAUGCUCCCACCUUUCCACAGUAGACAGUCCAUCUCAUUUUCAUCCAAAUUGGGGAUGUUUUCAUGCAAAUAUGCAGGCAUAAAAAUUCAAUAUUGUCAUAGAUAUCUUUUUGUUUGCCACAUUUAAAAAUCCAAAUCCAUAAUUUCAUCUGUGCUUCUCUCCAUUUCCAGUAUGACCAGGAGUAGGUCCUACGCACCGUAUUUGAUGUCGCCAUAGUUUGAAAUUGCAUUGUUUUUCACCAUUGUUUGUUUAUUCACCAAACAGUUUUCUGAAAUUUAAUACAUAAAAUCCAGAAAUGGUAUAAGACAAAAUAUAAACUUUUUUUACUUAUAACCAGAAAUUUUUUUGAAUAAAAAUUGUAUAAGAGAUAAAAAAAAUUAAAACAAGCAAGCAGUAAACGCUAAGAUUGUUUCAAAAAUGUGUUCUUUUUCUUUAAAACAGAAAGUUUACACACAAAAAUUGAAUCUUUUAAGUGUAAAAAAGAAGAAAAAAAUAAUUAAAUAUAAACCAAAACUUACAAAAUUAUACAAACAACAAAUUGGAAUUUGACUGAACCUGAAUAUAAGUGUCAUUACGUCUUUAUACACACAUCUUAGAAGAUGUUAAGAUGUCCCUUUCUAGAGGGCCCGUCCUAUUUGGAACGGACAUAUUCAACCAAAAUUGUACUCAUUCGACCAAACAAAUGCUUACAUGGAUCUUUUUGCAUAAAUUAAAAGUCGCAAUUGUUUCGUAUUAAAGAAAAUUCCAAAAAUAAAUCAUAAUUUGGCCUUCUGCUUAAAUCCGAAUGGUGUGACGCUUGCGAAAGAAAAUGAAAUCCGGGAAGAAAGUGUAUUUUUAACCUUUAGAAAUUAAAAUAAUUGAACAGAUUUUUCUCUAAAAAUGAAUAUUCGUGAUUAAAUCCAGGGUUGGGGCAACAAUUUGCGGCGCAACUGACACAGUCAAAACCAUAUACUAAGUGGAUCAAAUCCACCUUUGUACAUAACUCCCCCAUCUAAAAGCCUUGAUUGCCCAGGAUUUCAAUUUUUAGAGUCCAAACUCGAGGUUUAUAUACUCACUAACUUUCUUUCUUUUUUUCAAUGUGGGACAAUCCCCAUUUUUUUUGGUAAAUUUAUUUGAGAAACAAUUUCUUCAUUUCAAAUCAACUUGUUUUAGACAAAUGAAAUACACCAUUCAAUCUAGCAUUUAGGAGAAUAUGGAAUCGAUCAUUGUUCAUCUCAAUUUAGUAUAUGGAACUUAAUAAAAUUUAGUCUUAAAGUGUGUUCAUAACACAUUGUCAAAAAUUGACGUCUAAGCAGAUAUAUCUCUAUCUCCAUGGCUACGUCUCUUAGGUUUGCCCAUGGUCCUAGGAGUCCAGCUUUUUUAGAGAACCAGGUAUCAGAUUGAUAAUCCCAUUCCACAAAAAUUGAGAAUCGAACCAGAUUGGAUCGCCUUUAAGUACCGAAUUACUGUGUAUCGAGCCCUCGUUAGUCCGUCCCUAUUCCAAUAUGUUAAAUAUAAUUUUAAUCUACUGUGCAAGUCCAAAUUUUCAAAAAUAAAAAAACUUAAAUUUUUACCAUGUACAAACCAACUAAAUAUGAAGAACAUUUAGAAAUUCAACAUAAACCCUUGAUCCAAUCACAUGCAAAAUAGGUCUUAACAAGAUUUAAUAACUAUUUAUAAUUUUAUACUUUUAACUGUUACUAUUUAAAUUUUAACUACAGUAACAGUUGGUUUUGUCCAAGAUUUAAUAACUAUUUAUAAUUUAAUAUACCUCUUAAAAGAAAACCGAUGUGUAUAUUUAAAAAAAUUAUCAUCCCGCCCGAUUCUAACAGUCAGUUCCAAAACACAGAAUUUUGUUUUUUUUCUACUAAAAUCGAAUCGAAAAAUUGGAAGAAUUAGAAACCAUAGCUCCGUUCGGUUCCACGGGUCCUUCUUGCACC
rnacentral:lncRNA from 1 species